ACCUCCCACCCGUGUUUAUUGUACCUUGUUGCUUCGGUGCGCCCGCCUCACGGCCGCCGGGGGGCUUCUGCCCCCGGGUCCGCGCGCACCGGAGACACCAUUGAACUCUGUCUGAAGAUUGCAGUCUGAGCAUAAACUAAAUAAGUUAAAACUUUCAACAACGGAUCUCUUGGUUCCGGCAUCGAUGAAGAACGCAGCGAAAUGCGAUAACUAAUGUGAAUUGCAGAAUUCAGUGAAUCAUCGAGUCUUUGAACGCACAUUGCGCCCCCUGGUAUUCCGGGGGGCAUGCCUGUCCGAGCGUCAUUGCUGCCCUCAAGCACGGCUUGUGUGUUGGGCUCCGUCCCCCCGGGGACGGGCCCGAAAGGCAGCGGCGGCACCGAGUCCGGUCCUCGAGCGUAUGGGGCUUUGUCACCCGCUCUGUAGGCCCGGCCGGCGCCAGCCGACAACCCAUCAUCCUUUUCAGGUUGACCUCGGAUCAGGUAGGGAUACCCGCUGAACUUAAGCAUAUCAAUAAGCGGAGGAA
rnacentral:rRNA from 1 species